CCUUUCCCAUGCUUCUCACAACGUGUAUGUGCAGCCAGUGGAAGGAAGCUGCUGAUUGUUCUCCUGGUAUGGAGAUGUGAGCGGGUACUGGUUCCUGGGAGACUGCUGGGGAUGUUUUUCAUUGAGAGGACAACAGCAGAGUGGAAGUGUGUGGCAAUCGCUGUUCCUCUGGUGUUCUUUUUCAUGUUUCUUUUGUUUGAUUUUGUUUCCAAGUGGUUAAUCCUUUUUGCUAGCCAGUGCCCAUGAUAAUGCUGAUUAGUUGAUCAGCCUGUGUUCACUUAGUACUCUGGCCUGUGGUGGCGCUGGUUUGCAGCUUUGUAUAUUUGUUUGUUUGUUUUGUUUGUCAAAACCUUCCCGAUUGUUUGCCAGGCUAACCCAGCGCCGGAUAUAUGCAUGUUGGGAGGAAGAGCAGGGCUAAUGUUUGCAGUGCCACAUUGUGUGAAGAUUUGAACUUGGUUCUUUGUUUGCACCUGAUGAUCCUUUAUGUGUGGGGUGUU